UACGUAGGGGGCAAGCGUUGUCCGGAUUUACUGGGCGUAAAGAGCGUGUAGGCGGCCAAGCAGGUCCGUUGUGAAAACUGGAGGCUUAACCUCCAGACGUCGACGGAAACCGCGCGGCUAGAGUCCGGAAGAGGAGAGUGGAAUUCCGUGGUGUGAGCGGUGAAAUGCGCAGGAUAUCAGGAAGAACACCAAUGGCGAAGGCA
rnacentral:rRNA from 1 species